GACGUAGGGCGCGAGCGUUGUCCGGAUUUAUUGGGCGUAAAGAGCUCGUAGGCGGUUUGUCGCGUCGUCCGUGAAAACUCACAGCUUAACUGUGAGCUUGCGGUCGAUACGGGCAGGCUAGAGUUCGGUAGGGGAGACUGGAAUCCCUGGUGUAGCGGUGAAAUGCGCAGAUAUCAGGAGGAACACCGGUGGCGAAGGCGGUUCUCUGGGCCUUACCUGACGCUGAGGAGCGAAAGCGUGGGGAGCGAACAGG
rnacentral:rRNA from 1 species